rnacentral:rRNA from 1 species
GACGAACCGUGCGAACGUUGUUCGGAUUCACUGGGCUUAAAGGGCGCGUAGGCGGGGGGUCAAGUCUGAGGUGAAAUCUUUCGGCUCAACCGGAAAAGUGCCUCGGAUACUGACUCCUUCGAGGGGGGUAGGGGCAUGUGGAACUUCCGGUGGAGCGGUGAAAUGCGUAGAUAUCGGAAGGAACGCCGGUGGCGAAAGCGACGUGCUGGACCCCUUCUGACGCUGAGGCGCGAAAGCCAGGGGAGCAAACGGG